rnacentral:lncRNA from 1 species
UUGGAUGGUUUUAGACGGGGUAGGGGUAGACCGAAGAAGUACUGGGGUGAGGUGAUUAGGCGGGACAUGGAACAGUUACAGCUCACCGAGGACAUGACCCUAGAUAGGAAGGUCUGGAAGACGCGAAUUACGGCAGAGGAUUAGGGCCUGUUCGGGUCGCUAAUGUAGGGAGGUAAUUGGUGGGGGUGUAUUCCUGGUAUGAUUCCGUAUUCAAUGUUCUGUUCCGUGUUCCGUGUUCUAUGUUUGUUACGAAUCUGUGUGCUUUCCUCUGCUUUAUAUUACUUAUGGGUGCCGUAUUUAUGUUAUGUAAUCUGCUUCUGUGCUUUACUAUGUGUUUGUGUGAUAUCUUGUGCCUUGAGCCGGGGGUCUUUCGGAAACAGCCUUUCUACUUCAUCAGAGGUAGAGGUAUGGACUGCGGACAUCUUACCCCCCCCAGCCCCCACAAAGUGGGAAUACACUGGGUUUGUUGUUGUUGUACUUUUAAUUAUUAGUUAUUGUGAUUUAUAGACUUUUUCUUCUGCCCCAAUUUAUGUAACCAAUUAUUUUAAGUUGUUAAUUAUUAGGGGUGAAGUGAUUAGGCGGGACAUGGAACAGUUACAGCUCACCGAGGACAUGACCCUAGAUAGGAAGGUCUGGAAGAUGCGAAUUACGGCAGAGGAUUAGGGCCAGUUCGGGUCGCUAGUGUAGGGAUUUAAUUGGUGGGGGUGUAUUCCUGUUAUGAUUCCGUAUUCAAUGUUCCGUGUUCCGUAUUCCAUGUUUAUUACGAAUAUGUGUGCUUUCCUCUGCUUUAUAUUCCUGCAUUCAUGCUUUACUCUGUUUUAUAUUCCUUAUGGGUGCCGUAUCUAUGUUAUGUCAUCUGCUUCUGUGCUGUACUAUGUGUUUGUGUGAUAUCUCGUGACUUGAGCCGGGGGUCUUUCGGAAACAGCCUUUCUACCUCAUCAGAGGUAGAGGUAUGGACUGCGUACAUCUUAAACCCCCCCAGACCCCACUUGUGUGAUAUCUCGUGACUUGAACCGGGGGUCUUUCGGAAACAGCCUUUCUACUUUAUCAGAGGUAGAGGUAUGGACUGCGUACAUCUUACCCCCCCCAGACCCCACUAAGUGGAAAUACACUGGGUUUGUUGUUGUUGUUG